rnacentral:lncRNA from 1 species
UUCGGCAGCCGAAAGGCGUGCCUCCCAGGCAGGUUCGGCAGCCGAAAGUCCUUCGGUUGCCGAACCUGGUUUCUGCCAGAAGGGUAGAAACUCGGCUCCUCAUGCACAUUGCCUCCCCUUUCAUUCAACCAUGCAUAAACCUAUUCUACAACACACAUACACAAGCAUACAAGCUCCUAGGGGCUUCAAACUAUCUUAAACACCCAUCUACAACACAUCAAACAUCCACAUUGUUCAAAAACAUAACAUAAACCCAUAAACCUAACCAUAAGCUAAACAUGCAGUCUACCCCAAAGAUCUUCAUAAAACUUGUUUGAAACACAAAGUGAGCUCAAGAUCGGCCUUUACCUCUUGAACAUCGAGAGGAAAAUGACCUUAGCUCGGAGAUUGGAGAGAGAGAGUUCCUUGAACCUCCAAGCUCUAAAACUUGCUCAAAUGCUCAGAACUUCAAAACAAAGCGAAAACUUGUGAAAAUCUUGAAAGAUCUGAAGGAAGGAACUCAAAAUCGGUGAGAGAUGGCGGAGAGCUCACCUUGGUCGACAAUGGGGAGAAAAGCUCGCCCGUUUUCGGCUAAGGGACGCCUUUAUAGGUGGCUGGCCAGGCCACAUUCAGGGGCCGAACAUGCCUCCGCAUGCAUGAAAUGUUCGGCGGCGGAACAUGAGGUUCGGCCACCGAACCUAGACUUCCCACACUUAUGCUUUCGGGGGCCUAAAAUACUCCCAAAGCGCAAGCAUGUUCGGCGGCCGAACUUGAGGUUCGGCGGCCGAACCUGGGUCUUCCUCUAAGAUCAUUUUCAAGCAAAAACUCAUUUUCUUUCUUGAUUAAAAGCAUAAAGCACAUUAAAACAUUUUAUAAAAACAUGGUUUUACCCUUCUAGAGGUCUCCGACAGCCGAGAUUCCACCGGACGGUAGGAAUUCCGAUACCGGAGUCUAGCCGGGUAUUACAGCAGGGAUUAAGGUGAGCAUGUCCUGUGACAAACUCGCUUAAUCAAGGAUAUCGAAAAGCAAGAUGGACUUCAUAAUUUCUCUUUGUAGCGAACUCGAGACGUUAAUAGAUGUGGCAUCUCCCAAAAUGACAUAAGUUAUCUCUGUUUCAACCAAUAAUUAUUCCUUGAUAGAAGGAGAGAGAAUCGAGAGUAGUGAAGAAUAAACUAGUGGCUAUCCAACAAGAGGGGGUGCAAGAGUAAACUCAACAAAAAGCAGCAUUCAAUAAAGUAUUGUCUAUCUGUGCAUAAGUGGAACAAAACAAAUAAAUAAAUAAAUAAAUGUGGUAAUUAUGAGAAAUGAGUACAGUGGUUAUCAACUGUUAUGAUAUUCUUUUAUAAAUUACUUGAUCCUGAUGCGUAACUAGUGAGCAAGCUAUUGCUCCUAUAACUUUUGCUAUGUUGUGCAGCAUUGUUAAUGCAUAAGGAAAAGUUUUGAGAGAUCCAUAUGAAACACUGGUAGGGAUGAGAUGGUGAUAGAUCAAAGGUGGUAGUUGCCUCAUCUCUCAAAACAUAUCCUUUACAAGGAUACAGAAAACGAGCAUCAAAAUAGAAAGGGCAUACCCUAAAAAGAGAAAAAAAAGGGGAAAAAAAAAAAAGAAACCAAGACUAAGUUUUGCAAUAAUGAAAAUGAGUCAAAAAGUGGAAUAGAUGGGAGUCUAAAGGGGAUAAAAAGAAAAUAACAAUUACAAGAGUAGGAAACAAUGUAUGAUAAGUGCCAACCAACUUGAUUGCCGAGCACAUGUUCAUUCUCUUUGAGGUAAGUAAACAUGUUGAUAGGACAACUAAGAGGAAUGUAGGGUAACAUUGGGCGAGAGUUGUAUCAAAUGUCGUUGGGAGCAACAGUGUUGUGAAAGCAAAUAAUUCACUCAUCCUACGAUAAAAAGAAGGAGGAUAAGCGAAAACUGACAAAAGUGAGGACCAUUGAAUUAGUCAAAGGAGUGUGGUGCUCAAGGUAAUGAUGAGAGAUUGAGAUCCUUAAUGAUAAUUCAGUACGAGAGAAAGGAAUUUAACUAGAGAGAACCCUCUCACAACCGAUGAGUAUAAUGUUUUUGUGUUUCUUGAUAUCAUUCUUUAUCUUACUUUAUUUAGUUAUUCAUUUAUUCUGAGAUAUUUUGUGUAUUAUUGAGUCAGGUUCCUUGUGAUAUGGGACUUGACAAGUUGAUGCUAACAGAUAUUCUAAACAUAUAGGGUAUAGCUUCCUUAAAAGGGAUUGGAAAAUAAUGUGUAAUUAAAAGGAUAAAUUUAAUCCUACCUUUAUUGUUGAGUAGGAAAGUGACCUAAUGGCUAGACAAAAGUUCUCAUAAGUGGAUCAAUGUGGAGGAGAACCGAGAUAGGUCGAGAAGCACAGGUUGCUUGAGGCAAGUUGGGGAGGCGAGUCAAUGUAGGAAGGUAUGAUGAAUGCGGUAUAAUAAAGAGAGUAUCUUCUAGUAAUUUCUUAGUGUCGAAUCAUAAUGAUGAUAUUAAUUGCUUCAUGUAUAGUCAAUCUUAAUAGUUGUUUUGAGUAGAUUUCUGCGACUCAUAGGGUUCAACAAGAAAAGGGCACUUUUCAGUGGUCGUGGUUAUUUCGUGUGUAAUGUGUGUUGUUUUAUAGGCAUUUGCAUAAACUACAUUCUUAGGGAGAGGAAAAGGAGAUAAAGUGAGCAUAAUACCAGAGCUUAUGAAGGGGAGGACCGUAAGACGUACAAAAGAGAAAGAGAGUGUUGAGCAAACUCUUUUAACAAUGGGGACACCGAUUUCUUAGGAGUAUUCGUCGAGCUUCGCUACAAGUGGAAUAACGUGGUGUUAUGUCAAGGGGAUGGGUAAAGGCAGUUCAAGUCUUAGUGGUCAAGUGCUAUUGACACACCUGUUGAUUUGUAAUGGGUUGUAUUCUAGAUGACUUGCUAUACUAAUUCGUAUUUAAAUCUGACGUGAUUAGUACUAAUCUUUCUUAUAAGACUAUUACAGGUUAAUCACGAUGUCGUGUGGUAUGAGUGUAUGCAGGUUGAUAGAUUUGUUGCACGAUGGAGUUGUGCUUUUGAGGCGAAGAAUAAGGUCGAAAAUUAAAGGCAAGUAAUGGCGAGACAUGUUUAGGAUAAAAGAAUCAGUGAUCAAUGAGUUCAAGCAAUAAGUUCGUGCAGAGGAGUAAAGUAACAAUUUCUCACACCAUUUGCAGUAGACUAAGGAAUCAAGGGCAGAACAUUUACCACCAGAAGAUAGAGCUUUUGUAGUUUCAUCAUCAUAAAGAACUAGCAGUUCACAGAGAUACCAAGAACUGAAUGAUUUCAAACAAAAGGAGUAAGGCUAUCCAACAAUUUAAUCAACCAGGACUGGGAUCAAAUCCCACUGCAAGCAAGCCUAAGAGUGUCGGACUCGAAGAUUGAAGAACCCCAACAAACUCAGUCAACGAGAACGUCGACCGUUUAAGUGGGGGAGUGUCAGGUUUAUAGAGUUUUCAGGGAUCAAAACUGUAAUUUCCAACAUUAGAGUUCCUAGGAAACAAUAAUGGGAAAAAUUAGUAGAAAUUAUUAAGAAGAUAAGGGUCGAGACAAUUUUUUAUAAUUCCUUUCCAUGUAUUUAUUUUGGGAGGGUGUCAUAUGAGACAUAUUGUGUAACGACCCGAAAAUCCGGACCGCUACCGGCGCUAGGAUCCGGAUCGGCGUAAGGCCGCCGGGACCCGUAGCAAGCCUGACAUAUAACCUGUAAACCUGUAAAUCCCAUGAUCAAACAAACUUAAAAGAAUCUGUAAACAUUCUCAUAUAUCAAUCAAGCUCAACCUGUACAUUACAUAAUCAUAAACAUAAACCACCACUGGAGCCCUCAUCAAAUGCUCCAAUGGGGUAUCUCAUCAUACAUUGAGCUUGGACCAUCAUGGACAUCAUAAACAUAUCUAUAGAUCAUGUAUCAAAAGGGACAACAAUACUCAUAGGGUCAAACACAACUAUAACCUCAAUAUAUCUCAUUACAUAACAUGCUAUAAUCUUUUACAUUACGUCAUAGUACAACUGUCAUGUCCACAAUCUAACUAGUACAUAAACAUACUUCAAGUCUCUGGCUAACCUCCUGAUCUACCCUGUACCUGCACAUCUGGGGUUAGGGGAGAGGGGUGAGCUACAAGAGCCCAGUGAGCAGAAUAAUAAAACAUUAUAUCUUAAAAUUUCAUGCUUUCAUGAAAUGCGUCACAUCACAAACAAUCUACAUAAUGGAUGAACUUGUCACCAUAUAGCCCUCCAUACAAUCUAAUUAUGCCAGGGGCGUAAAGCAGGCUCGCCUGGACUUCCAUGUCAUAUCAUACAUACCAAUUAUGCCGAGGGCGUAGAGCAGGCACACCCGGACUUCCAUAGAAUGAUGCCAGGGGCGUAGAGCAGGCUCGCCUGGACUUCCAUGCCUAGUACAUAAGGGCUAAUGGAUCAUUCAACAUUCAUCCGCAUCAAAUAGCAUAAAGUGCAAUGCAACAUCUUCAUGAGAUCUAAUGCAAGCAACCUAUAAUAUCGCAUGGUAGUCAUGAUGCAUGAGCAUGCUCAAAAAUUUAUAAUUUCGUUAAUUUAAAACUUAAGGGUUUAUUCUACUCACCUCUGGUUGGCUCUAAAGACUCUGACAAGUUACUGAAGCAGCUAGCACUGCUGGGGUCCUCGGUUCCUUGGGUCCGAACCUACACAGGUGGACUCUAGUGAGGGACCAAACAUACUGUAACAUGACUCUAAAAACAUCCCCAAAAAACCCCCUAAAACAUCAUGAAAUAAUCAUAGAAAAACAUGCAUGAAAUGGCUGAACAGGGCACUUUCGGCGGCAGGUUCGGCGGCCGAAAGUCCCUCCAGAGCCGAAACCCAGGCAGGUUCGGCGGCACCUUCGGCGGCCGAAAGUCCCAGACAGAGACGAAAGUCAAUUUUCGGGGGCAACUUCGGCAGCCGAAAGGCCUGUCUCCCAGGCAGGUUCGGCGGCCGAAAAUCCCUUCGGCGGCCGAACCUGGUUUCUGCCAAAGGGCAGAAACUCGGUUCCUCAUGCACAUUUCGCCUCCCAAACUUCAAAUCAUGCAUAUAUCUCAACCAUCACAUGCAUACAAGUUCCUAGGGGCCUCAAAACAUCAAAUACCCCAACUACAACACUUCAAAUAAACAUAAUCAACACACAUUGUUCAAAACAUCAAUAUAACCCAUAAACUCAACAUAUAACCUAACAUGCAUUUCUACCCAAAGAACUCAUAAAAACUUACUUAAAACAUUCAAGGAGCUUAAGAUCGGCUCUUACCUCUUGAAGAUCGAGAGAGAGACGACCUAAACUUGGAGAUCCAAGAAAAUGAGCUCCUGAGUUCCCAAAGCUCCAAAACUUGUUUCAAAACUUCAAAACUUGCAAUGUGAGGUUAAAACCCAAGAAAAAUGGUGGGGAUUUGGAGGAAGAUCACAAGAUUUGCAAGAGGGAGGUCGGAAGCUCGCUGUGGCCGAAAAUGGGAGAAAGCUCGCCCAUUUCGGCUAAGUGCCCCAUUUA